rnacentral:snoRNA from 1 species
AUUCGGCAUGAUAACUAGACGACGGUCUCAAAAUACCUACGACUCCAGUCUUUUAAGUUGCCGAUAGAUAAACUUGCAAAGAUCUUACACGUUCUCCGAAUUUACCCAUGUAGUCCAACGUUUAAUCUUGCGCAACAUUC